GGCAUAAUUGCAAUUUCGUUGUGUGCAGUGUUCACUUGUGUGCUGUGGAGUGCUGUGUCACAAUGACAAUGGGAGUUGGAGUUUCCCAGUUGGGCUUCAUAAUCUGCAUCUCAAUACUGGAUUUUCAUUGAAGAUUAUCAUUCAUCCAGGUCAUUUUAGUCGAAAGAUUAUAGUUGUAUGUCACUGAACUUCUUUUUGAAGUUUCAUUUGUCUUUUUUGUUUUGUUUUGUUUUUUUACUUUAUUUAUGCCCCGGGGCACGAACGUGUGACCUCGUCAACUACAACGGUCCGGCAAUGGGAGACACAGUACGAUACCGCUGGACCAAGAGACCAGUCUCCCGGUCCAACGACAUCGACACUGUAUGAGGCUUUAGGAGGGAGGUUUACCAACGUUCCACGCCAACUCUGCUGGUGGAAACCGAGGGCUAUGUGCAGUAUAACCUGUUUGGCACCAUGCAGGUGGAGAACAUCAUCGAGUCGUAGUGCAGCAUUGUCGAUGUCUUCAGGUGGAGCAACAUGGAGAAGAUCCUGCAGAUGCCACCACAGUCCUCUGAAGCUGCACUGAACAGGAGAACAUUGCUAAAAACGGCCAUGGCCCAGUGAGGGAAAGUGGCAGAGCAGGCCCUUAAGGAGGAGAAGGCAGUCACUCCCACCCAACAGAAGAGCAUUAACAUCUACAGCACUGCACUGUGGGCCUGGACUGGAGCCGGGAUCUGGAAUUCACAGUUGAACUCUGGGUCAAGAUGCGAACAGUAUAACAUCUUACCAGGACAUCAUGGACUGCCUGAAGAUGGUCAUCUCUGCUGUUACGUGGCCAGGUCAAGCCAUGGGUGCACAGGAACAUCAGCAACUCUGGGCCUGCUCAUCCUGCAGUCGUAUAAGCAGGAGAUGGAGGAGGGGAGCCUGUCGAGCCUGGCCCCCGUACACAUGGUGCUGCAGAUGGGCCUGGACAAGAUGAGAAAAAACUGCAUCAACUACCUCAUACAGUAGGAAAGGAGUUGACCACUAAUUAUUUGCUGAUCGUGCUUGAGGUACUACAAAACCUGCCCUUAUGAUUAGGAACACGUCUUUCAGAUGGAAAUCAGACCUGUUGUGAUCAGCAGCUUCUACCAAAAGGCUUGUGAGAGGUGUGGACGUCCUUCCAUCUCAGCAGCCAGCCUCUGGCGAAUCAUGUGACCUUACACCUCAGGUGUAAUUAGAGGAGCAGUGCGACGGCAAGAAAGAGCUGCACCAUGAAUGGCCUGGCCCAAAGCCUGUCCAGCUGCUGACAACCUUGGCUGCACCCUGGACAUGUCAUCCAUCAGCCACCCUCCCACUAACAUUCUUUUGUUUAGUAUUAGAACGUGGUAUCUAUUUUGUAAUGAUAGACUUGACAUAGUCCUGUGGGAAUAUAGAAAGCACUUCUGUGAGUCCAUCACGGAAAACACUUCCGGUUCCUCAAACAUCCGUGUCCAUUCCAUGGAAUUAUGUGAGAUCAGGUGUGUGUGUGUGUGUGUGUGUGUGUGUGUGUGUGUGUGUGUGUGUGUGUGUG